rnacentral:lncRNA from 1 species
GGUUUAUUUCAUUGGGAACUACAUUUCCCAGAGGGCCGCGGAGAGGCGUUUCAUACGUUUCCUCCGUCUCUUCCCUUCCCUCUUCUUCCCUUCCCUUCGGAGAGCUGGCAACUUCGCCUCGCGCUCUAAGUCUCGCGAUCUUCCCGGCUUUUAUAAGGCCGGAUUUUAGACCCCCGCACGCCUUGACUGUACUUCUCCUAGCUGAGGUCCGUUUGGGUCUUGGCGCUGCUUGCGUCAUGGCCUCGGUUCGCCCCGUGCUUCGGCGCUUAGGGAGCGACGGGGGCCUGGAGCCUUGUUAGGCUCAGAUUGCUGUCCGUGGCGGAGCCUCGGGCUGCGGACGGUCUCUUCCCACCCCCCUUUCCUCCAUCCCACCCCCCUCCUCACAGAAACCCAGCUGUCUGUAGAACCUCUGCAUGAGAGCUGCUUGGGACUCUUUGCUAGUUCAUCACUAGCUGCAGAAUGUUUCCUUUUGACAUCUUUGUCCUAUCUGCCUAACUUUCAUCGUGGUAAGCAGAUGUUCUCUUUAACUAUUUACAUCAUUCUAAUUUAAUGUGAAGGGGAAUCAAUAAGGUUAGGCCUUAGACUGGGUUCGAGGGUCCAUAGUUUCCUCUGGGAGAUGGUCUCCAAGAGUUAACCUUGGCAAAAAAAUUUAUUGCCUUUACAGCCAACUGGAUGGGUGAUAAAAUUCUCUGAACUUAAUCUGGGCAGGGCAGCAGAUGUCAGUCACUGGACCAGUACUGCCUGGAAUAGUGUAGAGUUACCUAUAUCUUAAUGGAUAGAUUUCAUAAGGUCCAUGGAUUUGAAACUUUAAAUCUUUCCAUAAUUGCAUCCCCGUGCAGUUGGCUUUCUUUGUGAUUUUGUGUAUCUUAUCCAAUUAAAACAUUCUGAGAAAAGAUUCAUAGGCUUAACCAGAUUGCCAGAGGGAUCUGUUGAUACAAAAAAGGUUAAGAAUCCAGAGGUCUUAGGGUGUGGGCCUCGGGAGAGGUGAUCUUUCAGAAUGAGUACAUUGCUUUGAUUAGCUCUAAACCAGUCUGCCAUAGCUUGUGUUACUUAAC